rnacentral:rRNA from 1 species
AGAGUUUGAUCCUGGCUCAGAGUGAACGCUGGCGGCGUGCCUAAUACAUGCAAGUCGAACGCGAAAGUCCUUCGGGAUGAGUAAAGUGGCGCACGGGUGAGUAAUACAUGGGAACAUGCCCUCAAAUGGGGAGUAACGUUUGGAAACGAACGCUAAUACCGCAUAAUCUCGCAAGAGUAAAGGUGGCGCCGUAAGGGCUACCGUUUGAGGAUUGGCCCAUGUCCCAUUAGCUAGUUGGCGGGGUAAUGGCCCACCAAGGCAACGAUGGGUAACUGGUCUGAGAGGAUGAUCAGUCACACUGGAACUGAGACACGGUCCAGACUCCUACGGGAGGCAGCUGUAGGGAAUAUUGCACAAUGGAGGAAACUCUGAUGCAGCAACGCCGCGUGAGUGAAGAAGGCCCUUGGGUCGUAAAGCUCUUUAGCGAGGGAAGAAGCUGAUUACGGUGAAUAAUCGUGAUUGGUGACGGUACCUCGAGAAUAAGCACCGGCUAAUUUCGUGCCAGCAGCCGCGGUAAUACGAAAGGUGCAAGCGUUACUCGGAAUCACUGGGCGUAAAGCGCACGUAGGCGGACUCGUAGGUCAGUUGUGAAAUACCUGAGCUCAACUCAGGAAUUGCAGCUGAAACCGCUUGUCUUGAAUACCUGAGAGGGUGGGGGAAUACCUGGUGGAGAAGUGAAAUUCGUAGAGAUCAGGUGGAACACCGGAGGCGAAGGCGCCUGCCUGGCAGUGUAUUGACGCUGAGGUGCGAAAGUGCGGGGAGCAAACAGGAUUAGAUACCCUGGUAGUCCGCACCGUAAACGAUGGAUACUAGGCGUUCGGAGAGUUAACCCUCUGAGUGCCAAAGUUUACACAUUAAGUAUCCCGCCUGGGAAGUACGGUCGCAAGACUAAAACUCAAAGGAAUUGACGGGGGCCCGCACAAGCGGUGGAGUAUGUGGUUUAAUUCGAAGCAACGCGCAGAACCUUACCUGGCCUUGACAUCGCGACACCGGUGCAGAGAUGCAUCUUUCCCUUCGGGGACUCGUAGACAGGUGCUGCAUGGCUGUCGUCAGCUCGUGUUGUGAAAUGUUCGGUUAAGUCCGGCAACGAGCGCAACCCCUGUCCUUAGUUACCAUCAUUAAGUUGGGGACUCUAGGGAGACCGCCGGUGUUAAACCGGAGGAAGGCGGGGAUGACGUCAAGUCCUCAUGGCCCUUACGGCCA